GGGGCGUUAGCUCAGUUGGCUAGAGCGCUUGCUCGACACGCAAGAGGUCAGAGGUUCGAAUCCUCUACGCCCCA
rnacentral:tRNA from 1 species